rnacentral:rRNA from 1 species
AGCAGUCGCCGCGGUAAUACGGAGGGUGCAAGCGUUAAUCGGAAUUACUGGGCGUAAAGCGCACGCAGGCGGUCUGACAAGUCAGAUGUGAAAUCCCCGGGCUUAACCUGGGAACUGCAUUUGAAACUGUCAGGCUGGAGUCUUGUAGAGGGGGGUGGAAUUCCAGGUGUAGCGGUGAAAUUCGUAGAGAUCUGGAGGAAUACCGGUGGCGAAGGCGGCCCCCUGGACAAAGACUGACGCUCAGGUGCGAAAGCGUGAGAGCAAACAGGAUUAGAUACCCCUGUAGUCCCUGUCUCUUAUACA